AGACCCGAAACCCGGUGAUCUAGCCAUGGGCAGGUUGAAGGUUGGGUAACACUAACUGGAGGACCGAACCGACUAAUGUUGAAAAAUUAGCGGAUGACCUGUGGCUGGGGGUGAAAGGCCAAUCAAACCGGGAGAUAGCUGGUUCUCCCCGAAAGCUAUUUAGGUAGCGCCUCGUGAAUUCAUCUCCGGGGGUAGAGCACUGUUUCGGCUAGGGGGCCAUCCCGGCUUACCAACCCGAUGCAAACUGCGAAUACCGGAGAAUGUUAUCACGGGAGACACACGGCGGGUGCUAACGUCCGUCGUGAAGAGGGAAACAACCCAGACCGCCAGCUAAGGUCCCAAAGUCAUGGUUAAGUGGGAAACGAUGUGGGAAGGCCCAGACAGCCAGGAUGUUGGCUUAGAAGCAGCCAUCAUUUAAAGAAAGCGUAAUAGCUCACUGGUCGAGUCGGCCUGCGCGGAAGAUGUAACGGGGCUAAACCAUGCACCGAAGCUGCGGCAGCGACACUCAGGUGUUGUUGGGUAGGGGAGCGUUCUGUAAGUCUGCGAAGGUGGCCUGUGAGGGUUGCUGGAGGUAUCAGAAGUGCGAAUGCUGACAUAAGUAACGAUAAAGCGGGUGAAAAGCCCGCUCGCCGGAAGACCAAGGGUUCCUGUCCAACGUUAAUCGGGGCAGGG
rnacentral:rRNA from 1 species